GACGAACGCUGGCGGCGUGCCUAAUACAUGCAAGUAGAACGCUGAAGGAGGAGCUUGCUUCUCUGGAUGAGUUGCGAACGGGUGAGUAACGCGUAGGUAACCUGCCUGGUAGCGGGGGAUAACUAUUGGAAACGAUAGCUAAUACCGCAUAAUAGUAGAUGUUGCAUGACAUUUGCUUAAAAGGUGCAAUUGCAUCACUGCCAGAUGGACCUGCGUUGUAUUAGCUAGUUGGUGGGGUAACGGCUCACCAAGGCGACGAUACAUAGCCGACCUGAGAGGGUGAUCGGCCACACUGGGACUGAGACACGGCCCAGACUCCUACGGGAGGCAGCAGUAGGGAAUCUUCGGCAAUGGACGGAAGUCUGACCGAGCAACGCCGCGUGAGUGAAGAAGGGUUUCGGAUCGUAAAGCUCUGUUGUAAGAGAAGAACGAGUGUGAGAGUGGAAAGUUCACACUGUGACGGUAUCUUACCAGAAAGGGACGGCUAACUACGUG
rnacentral:rRNA from 1 species